GGACAUAGUGGUGCAGAGCAGCACAUCCACUUUCACACUGGCAGUGUGGGGGUCAGGGGUUCGAGUCCCCUUAGCUCCA
rnacentral:tRNA from 1 species